UAAGUGUGUUUUUGUGAUACAAAGACUCAUCAUCACCUUUGCUUUUGGGAGUGGCUUCAGAGUAGAAGUGUAAGAGAUGUUUUUACCAUUUGCAACCAAACCCUUUAUGUUUUAAUUUUAAAAGUAUGAAUUGUAUUUUAGAAAUGAAAUGUGGUGAUAGUAAAAAAUGUUCCAAAGUCCAAAGAAAAAAUGCAAAACAGGAGCAGAGCAAACAUGGACCUCUACAAAAAUUAGAGGUAGGAUCAGGUGCCAUGAAGGAAUGAGCAUUUUCUGCUGAACGGUCCUGACAUUGUAUGACGUUUGGAGUUUAGUGUUUGAUUGUGUAAAUAAUGCAACAAAUCUUGACUCCUUACUGAUUUUAUGCAAAUGUCAAACGCUGCAAAAACAAUUUGCCUUGGAAAAUUUGAAUGCCUCGUAAACAUCAUACUAAGGUUUUUUUGGUCUAGAGUCAAAAGACCUACAUAUUAUGUCAUUUGUGUAGUUUUAAUUCUUUGUUUAAAAUGGGUUGUUUAAGAUUUCAUUGAUAUUUAUAUGUUUAUUUUAAUUCUUAUUUUGUAGUUUUAACUUGUUAAAAGUUUAUCAAUAACAUGUACACUCAUAUGAAAAGUUACUGUAAUGAAAUUUUUGUUUUGAGUUGGUCAGACGAAUCAGAAGUUUCAUGUACUAUUUGAUUUUAGCCUAUAUUUAAGCUUUGGCUUUCUGAUAUAUCAUUAGGCAAUGUCAAUGUCAUAGUUGGAGUCAAGGAUUUCAAAUGUCCAUAUCUUCAAUAAGAUUGAAAGUAAGGUCAUAAUCCUCAUCCAAGUUAAUAAGUCUACACUACAUGAACAUGUAUUAUAUUCGGUGUGUUUCAAUUUUUUGCAUUGAAUCAAACUUAAUAUUUCAUUUUUUAUAUUUUAUUUUAACGAAAAAAAUACACUUAAUGUGAAUAUUUAACAUUGAGUUUUGACUUUCUUUUGCAACCAUGAAUGUCUAUUUGUCUGAUGAUUCAAAUUUGAAAUGCCCAUUUCAAGUACAUGUACACUCCAAGUACAUUUGUAAAUGCAGUGCCAGAAGCCAACCUACCAAGUUUCAUCUGAAUCAGAUCAGCACCACCAAAUGUUGACCACCUCCUCAUCUGAUGGGUGUGUACAAGUUCACCAGCUAAGCUCAGGGGAGCCCAUUCCUGUUUCAUCCUUGAAAGUUCAUAAUAAUGAGGCCUGGAUCACAGUUUCAGUUACUGAGACACCAAUGUUGUCUGCACAGGUUUGAUGUUAACUAAUGGGCUAGAAUAUGAAAAAGUCUUCUUCACCAAUACUCUUCAGUAAAAGCUAUGAUGAGCACCUCCUUGUGUGGAACAGCAGACAGAUGAAGCAUCCACUGGCAGACACACAUUUAGGCGGGACAUCUGUAGGGUCAAUUGGCACCCUGGUCACACACAGCCACGAUGUACAAUGGUUACCAUGUGGUGGACACAAAAUAUAUCUCAGAUGGAAAGAUGGAUGUAGUACAACACUAUGACAGAAAUGUUUCCCUUGGUUACGGUGCUGAUUGGUGUCAUAGCAACGUCUACAACAGCCUCGUAGCAACGUGAUCAUUUUAUAAAUAUUCCUUGCAAUUAUGGAAUUUUACAAUGAAAACUAGGAUGUUGGAUAAAUAAAAGUAAUUU